CAGGCUGCCGGAGCCAGCUUUGACAACCCCCUCGGGUCCCCUUCCACAGUGUGGAAGCUUUGUUAUUUCGCUCUUUGCAAUAAAUCUUGCUACUGCUCACUCUUUGGGUCCACGCUACUUUUAUGAGCUGUAACACCCACCGUGAAGAUCUGCAGCUUCACUCCUGAGCCCAACGAGCCCACGAGCCCACUGGGAGGAACCAACAACUCCAGACGUGCUGCCUUAAGAGCUGUAACACUCACCGUGAAGGUCUGCAGCUUCACCCCUGAGCCAGUGAGACCACGAACCCACCAGAAGGAAGAAACUCCAAACACAUCUGAACAUCAGAAGGGACAGACUCCAGACGCGCCACUUUAAGAGCUGUAACACUCACCGCGAGGGUCCGCGGCUUCAUUCUUGAAGUCAGUGAGACCAAGAACCCACCCAUUCCGGACACACCAUCAUCAUAAUCUAUGUCACAGUGAUUGAUUUACUGCAUAUGAGCAGAAUGAACCUGGACCUGGCCAGUAUCAUUAAGGAGUUUUGGAGAGUCAAUGCAUGAUGAUCUCUGAAGAUUCUACUGAAAUCUAAUCAAUAUGUCCUCACUGCCAUCAAUUCAAAAGAACUUGCUAAGAAGGCUCUAGAGGCUUGUACUCUCAGAUAGUGAAAGUGAGAUGAUGUGUAGUGAAAGUCAUAUAUAGGUUGUAAAUUGCAAUAUGGAAUUCCCAAAUGCUGAAUUCAUUUUAUCUCUUCGGAAAUAAAAACCUGUUAAAGACUCAUU
rnacentral:lncRNA from 10 species